ensembl:snRNA U1 U1 spliceosomal RNA
AUACUUACCUGGCAGGGGAGAUACCAUGAUCACGAAGGUGGUUUUCCCAGGAUAAGGCUUACCCAUUGCACUCCGGAUGUGCUGACCUCUGCAAUUUCCCCAAAUAUGGGAAACUAGAAUGCACAAUUUGUAGUAGAGGGGGACUAUGUUCGCGCUCUUCCCUG